GACGAACGCUGGCGGCGUGCUUAACACAUGCAAGUCGAACGGACAGGCCCUGCUUUUGUUGGUUGCUCGAUUGGCGAACGCGUGAGUAACACGUGUGUAACCUCCCCUUAUCUUUGUGAUAUCUUCAGGAAACUGCGGCUCUUACCGCAUAUGAUCUCUUGCUGCAUGGUGGUCGUUGGUAAGUUUCGGCGGUUGGGGAUGGUCUCGCGGGUUCUCAGCUUGUUGGUGGGGUAGUGGUUUACCAAGGGUUUGAAGGGUAGCCGACCUGAGAGGUUUGACGGCGACAUGGGGACUGAGAGACGGAGCAGAAGCGUACGGGAGGCAGCAGGGGGGAAUAUUACAGAAUGGGGGGAAGCCUGAUACAGAAAUGUCGGGAGCGGGAUGAUGGGCUUCGGGGUGUAAACCGAUGUCGACGGUGACGAAGCGGGAGUGACGGUAAUGGGUAAAGAAGCAACGGCUAACUACGUG
rnacentral:rRNA from 1 species